UGUCAAGAGUUUUCAACGUCGUUUCGGCGAACGAAUUUCUUUUGCCUUGAAAAAGGUGAAGACAAAUG
rfam:Ensifer sp. Root278 contig_21, whole genome shotgun sequence.